AUGAAGAGACUUCAGGUCAGGAAAGCCUGAACUUUCUCAUCCAACACCCGUUCAAGUCGGAGGAUGCUGAUUAAUUCAUGAUGGAAAGGUAUCAAUUUCACAGCCCAGACCUCUACAUUCUUGAAAUGCUCUUCUCAUGGGAGACAUUAAAUAAGCUUUGAAUUAACUAAAAAUAUCCAACCCGAGCAGGAUAAAACUGAUCAUCCUGAGGAUAUUGCCCUUGGAGUUAAUUUUUUGAGAGAAAUAAAACAAUAAACAUCAUAAGACACAAACCCCAAGCAACUGAUCUCACUGUUAAAAUCCAACCUGAGAACAAUGGAAUGGGAAGCUGCAUAAAACACCAGUGAGCUCUAUCCCAACAGCAGAUUGCGCUCUCUAGAAGAAAAUUCUGAGAAAAAAAUUCAUAUGCAAGAAAUUUACUGGGGAGUGCUCUCAGACUCUGAACUGUGAAGAAAAAGGAUUGGACAGGGCUAGUAGAAGUCUAUAUGUUGUGGUGGAAAACAACCUCAGCCCUAUAGUCCAACAUUUGCCUAUCAAAACUUGUCCUAUGAUUUACAAAACUAGAACCUCACUGCAUGUACCUCUGGAGUCCUGAGCCACAAAGUAAGAAACUCAGCUACCCUGAUGUUGCCAUGUUAAAGAGACUAUCUGGAAAAGCCACAAAAAGAUAGAGAAAGAUGCUAAAGGGGCCUCUGCUGUUCUGGCCCCCACCUAAUUGAGCCAUCAGACAGCAUGAACCAUCAGAUAUAUGAAUGAACAAGGCUUCAGGUGAUUCCAGUCCCACCUACAAUCUGAUUCAGCCAUAUAGAGACU
rnacentral:lncRNA from 10 species